CGCGAAACCUUUACACUGCACGACAGUGCGAUAAGGGAACUCCAAGUGCGAGGGCAUACAGUCCUCGCUUUUGUGUACCGUAAGGAGGUACACGAAUAAGGGCUGGGCAAGACCGGUGCCAGCCGCCGCGGUAAUACCGGCAGCCCAAGUGAUGACCGCUAUUAUUGGGCCUAAAGCGUCCGUAGCCGGCCAGGUAAGUCCAUCGGGAAAUCCGCACGCCCAACGUGCGGGCGUCCGGUGGAAACUGCCUGGCUUGGGACCGGAAGAUCCAGAAGGUACGUCCGGGGUAGGAGUGAAAUCCUGUAAUCCUGGACGGACCACCGGUGGCGAAAGCGCUCUGGAAGGACGGAUCCGACGGUGAGGGACGAAAGCUAGGGUCACGAACCGGAUUAGAUACCCGGGUAGUCCUAGCCGUAAACGAUGUCUGCUAGGUGUGUCACAGGCUACGCGCCUGUGAUGUGCCGUAGGGAAGCCGUGAAGCAGACCGCCUGGGAAGUACGUCCGCAAGGAUGAAACUUAAAGGAAUUGGCGGGGGAGCACUACAACCGGAGGAGCCUGCGGUUUAAUUGG
rnacentral:rRNA from 1 species